rnacentral:rRNA from 1 species
CAGCAGUAGCCGCGGGAAUACGUAGGUGGCAAGCGUUGUCCGGAAUUAUUGGGCGUAAAGGGCUCGCAGGCGGUUUCUUAAGUUUGAUGUGAAAGCCCCCGGCUCAACCGGGGAGGGUCAUUGGAAACUGGGAAACUUGAGUGCAGAAGAGGAGAGUGGAAUUCCACGUGUAGCGGUGAAAUGCGUAGAGAUGUGGAGGAACACCAGUGGCGAAGGCGACUCUCCGGUCUGUAACUGACGCUGAGGAGCGAAAGCGUGGGGAGCGAACAGGAUUAGAUACCCCGGUAGUCCCUGUCUCUUAUAC